GGCAGCGGGAGCCCGGACCCCGUGUCUUGGACCCGCCGCAGGCGGCCAAAGAGGCAUGAGGAAAGUCCCCCCACCGUCCGGGCAGGUGACCGGGUGCAAACCCGGAGCGGGAGACCGCUGGCACUGGAACAGAAACGAGACCACUCCGCCUGACCGAUGAGGCGUGCGAACCCCGACUGACGAAGGCCGACUCGGCUGCCGGGAGAAACCCCGGUACGUCGGUCGACCGAGAAAGGAACGGGGAGCUGACCCGCCGAGGGCGGCGUGCCGACCACGUCGGCACGUCACGAACGAGCGAACGUUGCGCGGCGCUCCGCGCCGCGAUUUCGAGGCGGUGCGACCGCCACACGGUUCGCGAGUAGACGGUGGAGAACGGAUGGAACGGCGAAUCCUCACUGGUGCAAGUCCGCGCCACAAGGUAGCCCGGACGCGGCGCGGACGCUCAGCCGAAUGCCGGGCCGAACAGAAGGGGGCUUACUCCCCGCAGCC
rnacentral:RNase_P_RNA from 1 species